ACAUGCCUACAACAUAGUGUUAAUGCAACGGAUCCCAUUAUAACUCCACAGUUAAGUGCACUUAGAGUAGAGUAACACUGGGAUGGGUGACCUCCCAGGAAGUCCUAGUGUUUUACAUGCC
rnacentral:rRNA from 1 species